ACUUCCGUUCUAUUUCAAAAACAUUUCUCUCGAAUUCUACUGUAGAGUCAUAUUUUUAUCGUUAUAUAUUUUCGUUUCAACCAGCAAAGUGCUGCUUGUUUUCCAGCAAAUAUGACAGAACACGAAGGAUGUGGAUUUUCCUCGGGUUUAAAUGUGCACAUUGAAUUCUGCAAUUCCUGAGGCUAUGAGGACCGGGUGGAUGAGCUUCGCACAAAGAUUCAGCGUGAUGUUCCUGAAGCCUGCGUAACAAACAGCAUUAGUGAUAGAACUGCUGCCUUUGAAGUUACCAUCAAUGACAAGUUGGUCUUCUCUCGUCUUCAAUCUUUUUCAUUCCCUAGCUCUGAACAGAUUGUGAAUUUAUUACAUGAUGUCCAGUCAGGCAAGACGAUCCCUGUUAUUGAGGAAACUAGCACAGGCUGCACAAUUGUAUAAAACUAAUGUUUUCCAGAAAUUUCUACAAUUGUUACACCUUAAAUUCUUUGAGUUUUUUUUUCUUUCUUUUUUAAUCUUAAAUUAAUAUAUAUUAAAGAUCCUGACUAUUGUCUUCUUUUUUAAAUCCUCAUUGAACUAAUAUAUAGAUAUGGACUGGCUUAUAUUCCAGCAUCAUGGUAUAUCAUACAACCUGUCUUGUCACAGAUAUUUACCCAGUAUGUAAUUGCUAAUUUCACAUGCUACCCACUCAGUAUUUGUCCAAUCAGCAGCAACAACAACAGUUCAUCUGAUUGAAUGAGUUAACUUUGUUCAUUAUUGGAAGAUGUUGAGGUGUUUUCCACACAAUGUAUGUUAUAAGCGGCACCUACAAGUGCGAGUUAAUACUGAGUGGUCUGUUGUUAUGGUAGAUGGCCAUUCUUAAUUCAAUGUGACUACAGGUAUGUCUGCAGGAGGGUAGGUGUGUCUAUGUAAAUGGAAACACAGUGGAUCUUGAAAGCUUCCAUUUGUUGUAUCCACUAUGUUGCUCCUUGCUGCCUAGCAUCAAAAUAUGUCACUUCUUCAAUUAAGUGAUCUAAUUACUCUUUGCCUUCAUGAUGAGGUGCUAAUUAGCUUUACACAUGUAUUUUUUUUUUGCCUUCCAUAUUCUUUCUUCUUUUUCUUCUUCUCAUCUAUUCUUCUCUUUUCUCUCCCUCUUCACAUACUUAUCAUGAUUCUAUCUUUAAACUCCUUCUCUCUGCUCCAGCCGUCUUUUAUGUUAAGUACUCUUUUUCUAUAGUUACUCUUUUUUUCUUCUUAUUUCAAAGUAAAUAUGCAAAACGUUUUUAGUCAAGGGUGAAUUCUAACUUAUUCAAUAUCUUUCUUUUGAAAAUUUUGUGUGUAACAAUUGUGGAACUAAAAAUACUUUAUAUUGACUUUUAAAAAAAAGUUUUUUUUUGACUUUCUUACUGGUUAUUUCUCGUUAUGAAAAUUCUGGUCUAAACAUGUAUUGACCAGAGUUGGAUAAAUUGUGAGGAAUAACCAGUGAAAAAGUCGACUGAAAAUGAUUUAUUUGGUGAUUAAAAUUUAAAAUGAAUAUAUCAUGA
rnacentral:misc_RNA from 1 species